AGCAGGGGAGCUUGUGUAACAGGCUGAGAGGAAGGAUAUUACCUUCGACCCGUAACCUGAUUUGGAUAAUGCCAACGUAGGGAUGCCC
rnacentral:ncRNA from 1 species